rnacentral:rRNA from 1 species
ACGCUCGACACCUACGGAGGCAGCAGUGGGGAAUAUUGCACAAUGGGGGAAACCCUGAUGCAGCGACGCCGCGUGAGCGAAGAAGUAUUUCGGUAUGUAAAGCUCUAUCAGCAGGGAAGAAGAAAGACGGUACCUGACUAAGAAGCCCCGGCUAACUACGUGUCAGCAGCCGCGGUAAUCUGAGCGGCUGGCAAGGC